CAGGUCGCGAGCAGAGUCAGGGCUUUGACGCGCCAAAUUUAAGACCCGAAUUCAAUCCUUGGCACCACACGUUCCUCGAAACCCUGAACCUCUGUAGCUCAUACCAUUUUUUGUCAACAAAAAAACAAUAUAUUCUUAUUUUUACACCUAAUGAUUUUGUAAUUGUGGCCACAAGAGGCAUUGUCGACACUACCACUAUCGAGCGGGCAGUUGAGGGAAGUCUUAACCCCUCCUUUUCCCCCCACGGUCACGAAAAGUGUUAGUUCACUGACCUGAAUUUAAAUAAUAUUAUUCUAAACAACGCUGUACGUGGUCUUAAACAUUUGCCAGCCAUACAUAUGUAAUAAAGGACUAACUAAAGAAAGUUUUAGUUUGGUUUAGUCUUUUUUCCUCAUGUUAAGGUCAGUGGACUUAAAUUAAGGAAACUUUCUUUCCGUGUGCGCGACAAACAUUUUGCUAAACAUAUGAAAGUUGUUCGGAAAACCGUCUUAAAAAGUUAUAUGCAUAAAAACAGCAAGAAAAAACGAUAUGGUCGAUUUCCUGAUUUGGCGAUUUGUGGGCGUUAAAGAUGGCACUGGGCUGAAGUAAAUAUCGGCUUCAGAGGACUAUUAUAACCUAUAUUAAGCAUUGUAGCUCUUUAGCUUUCAAAAUGUUGUCUCUUUAAUGAUGGCCCGACUUAACAAAUUGUUGGUUCGUUUGAUGGGAUUUUAUAAGUAUACCCUUGCAGAGGGUAUUAUGAUUUAAAUCAGAAGUUUGCAACGCAGUGGACAAGACGUUUUCAACUCAAUAAAGUACAUAUAGUAGUGUAAAAGGCGAAACCAGCCGGAUCGGACAACUAUAUCUUAGAGCUCCCAUAGGAAUAAUUGAGGAAAAAAAUGUGGUGUUUUUUAACAUAACCUCCUACGAUUGGAAAAACCAUUUCUUAAUUAUUUUUGAUUUUUGGAUUUAAUUGUAUCAAAAUAUAUAGCUGCUGUAUAACCGAUCGAAAAAAUUGCGGGAAAUACAAUUGUAUUGGGAAUACAAUUUUUUGUACUUUUAAGAAAUUUGAAUUAAAUUUAAUAAAAAUCGAACAA